rnacentral:tRNA from 1 species
UGGGAGAUGGCUCACUGGCUAAAGCACUUGCCUUACAAGCAUGAGGAUUGGAGUUCAGAUCCCUAGCACCCAC